rnacentral:tRNA from 1 species
GUAGACAUAGUUUAACUCAAAAUAUUAGAUUGUGGUUCUAAAGACAGGGGUUAAACCCCCCUUGUCCACC